AAAUUUUCUGCUUGACUAAUAAUAAGAUCUACAAUACUAUUCGCUUGUGGAUUUUCUUCACUAUGCAAAAUAUGAUUAUGCUUUCUUAAUGGAAAAUAGCAAACUAAACUAUUUUGGUCUAAGGUUAUUUUUCUUUUUUGUGGUUCACUAAUUUCUAAAUUAAGAUAAUCUAUCAUAAACUACAAUCUACCUUUCUCUAAAGUUACAAAUAAGGUUUCUUAGAAACUCUCUUUCUUUUCUCAGGGUCUCUAAAACUUGAUUUGUUGCUCUUUUUGCUUCUAAAACUUUAUGCUGCACUUCUGUGUUAUUAUAUUUACAAAUAAAUGAAGGAUGUUCAAGAUAACCAAGAUAAAACUUUUGCUUCUUCAAAGUCUUGCUAAUUAUUUUGGAUAUAUAUGGUAAUCUUCUCUUUAUGCUAGUUAUAGUUGGAUGUCUGGGAUAAUAAAUAUCAGGUGGUUGUGGCUGACAAGGUCUACAAGGACAAUAAUAUAUGUUGUUCAUACAAAAUAAACAAGUGUGAUAUCAGUUGUGUUAAUGACUUCCGUCCUUAAGGUACUUUACUAUUAUAAUUAUACUAUUAAAAUGCUAAACUUGGCUCUGAUACCAAAUUCGCACAGCAGGCCCGGUUAAAUAGUUGGAUGGCCAUUAUAACAACUAAACAUAAAACCUUGCACAUGGAACUCGACAUGUUUCAACAUGACGACCACUCACAGUACAAUAAAGGCUGAACUCAGAGGUACGAAUAACUCAGAGGUACCCUGGUUAAUGUCCAGUUAUUUGUAUGGCAAGCAUUCCACUAUAACAGAGUGCUUGAACAAAGUAUGAUCGUUAGUUUAGCAGGUUGAUAAUAUAACUACAAUAGUGUUUCCCUGUUUUGGACUAGAAGUCUAAUUUAACGAACACACUAAAGAAAGUAAAGAAAGCUUACUUAAGACUUGGAGAUUGCAUGAAUAUGUACACUUGAACUUUUAUUGAUAUAUGGAAUGUUUACAAAGAUAGUUGUUUACAAGAAAGUGUUUACAAGGAAGUGUUUACAAGGAUGCUCUGAAGACUACGAAUGCUUGAGAGUAUGAAGAUGGUGUGGGUAUGAGAGUAGGGUGUUCAGAUGUUGAGUGGUUGAGGUAGUGGUGGUCUAUAUGGGAUGAAGAGCUCCCUUAUAUACAAAUCCUAAAAAUGAAUAACGUUCCAAUAUUUAUAACUUUUUGGAUAGUGACAACACACUGUUUCUGAAAGCUAUCAGCACUGUUUUUGAAAGCUAGUUGUCUUGUCUUUGCUUGAAUGUCAUGUGAAUUUAUGUUGUCUUGGUUGCUGCAAUGUUUGCCACAUUUUUUUUUUUUGCAUGUGAAUCCAUGUUGUCUUGGUUAUUGCAGUGUUUGCCAUAUUUUCUUUUGCAUGUGAAUUUACUGCAUGAUUUGUCUCCUGGUGUACAAUUUUUUGCAUGUGAUUGAAGGAAAAAUUUUGUCCUAGCUAAGAACAAGUAUGAACAUUUGAAUACAUAUGCAUACUAUUAACUCAUUAA
rnacentral:lncRNA from 1 species